rnacentral:rRNA from 1 species
GACGAACCGUCCGAACGUUAUUCGGAAUCACUGGGCUUAAAGGGCGCGUAGGCGGGGCACGUAAGUCAGGGGUGAAAUCCCACGGCUCAACCGUGGAAGUGCCUUUGAUACUGCGGACCUCGAGGUGGGCAGGGGCGUGCGGAACUUCCGGUGGAGCGGUGAAAUGCGUAGAUAUCGGAAGGAACACCGGUGGCGAAAGCGGCACGCUGGGCCCGUACGUCGACGCUGAGGCGCGGAAAGCCAGG